rnacentral:lncRNA from 1 species
CAAGAUUGUUUGGAGAAAACUUUGAUGGAAGAGAUUUCAAAGGGUAUCGGUCCCAGCAAAGAUACCUGAGAGCAUUGGGCAGAGAUUCAAGACCUUGAGAAAGGUCAAUCUUGUAGUACACCUCGCCAAAGGUAGCAUCAUGAAAACCUAUAAAUUUGGGAAAAUCCUCAGAACCAUGAAUCUUUAGCAAUCUCAGAUUAUACAUCUCUUUGAAGGUUGAACUGGAGAGUUGUAGCCUUAUAAUGCAAGACGUAAUGGUGCUCCUUACAUGUACUGUACCUACGAAAAUCAAUGUAACUGAGAAUUAUACGUUCUUGUUAAUUUGUAACAAAAAUGAAUAGAAAAUAUCUUACAAUUUAUGCUCGUCUUGCACUCACCUCUUCAUCAUUUCUUAAGUUGUCUCCACCACAAUACUUAUGAAUACGCAAUUGAACCAAUCAAUCGUAUCCAUAAAAUUGAGCUACCAGUCAGACACAUAACUUCUGCUCAAAAUCAUUUUUUUAAUUUUUUUGACAAACAACAAUACUUGGUAUUUCAUUAAUCAACCGAGAACAAUGCAUAGGUGCUAAUUGGGUACAAUCCUCUAGUGACCAAGCAAAUGAUCUAGAGGUUAAUUUACGCAAAUGAGACAAUAAUAGUAAACCCCAAAGCAGCUAUCACAUGUACGAGAACUUCCCACAACACCCAUACAAGCCUGUUACAGAAACAAUACAUAACAAAUUUGUAUAGAUGAUUGCAAACAGUUGCCGCCAAAUAGCGUGGCCGCAUAAAAUCAUCGCAGGAGCAAGACCACGUAACGUCAUCAUUGGAAGACGAGACCACAUAAUCCAAUGCUCAAGGCGAAAAUCAAAUACAACCGUCGUUACGGCGCAAAACGGACACCAUCCAAUGGAAGGAUAGGACCCUCAGGUAAGGACCACAGCAGUGCCAUCACACAAGACAGGCAGCUUGCGAAUUUGAUACGCCCAAAAUUUUUUUGGGUAAGUUUUAUUUUGGGUAAAAGACUGUUUACUACCUUAUGUUUCGUGGUUUUCAACAUUUAGUAUAUCAAGUUUUUUUUGUCUCAGAUUCAAACCUAAAGUGUAAAUUUUGGGACAAUCUCAUACAUCCUUUAGUCAAACUGUUAAAUCUGCCAUUAAUUGUGACGUGGCGCUCAUGUGGACAAUAACUGGGCGCCACGUAUCAUCCGCGUUUUUUUUUUCUUUCUUCUUCUUCUUCUUCAUCUUCUUCCUUCUUCUUCUUCUUCUUCUUCCUCCUCCGACUGCAACUUCUUUUUCCCCCUUCUCCUUCUUCCUUCUUCUUCCUUCUCCUUCUCCUUCUUCUUCUUGUUCCUCCGAAUCUAGGGAAGUUUUUUUUUUUUUUUUUUUCUUCUUCCUCCUUCCUCCUUCUUCCUUCUCCUUCCUUCUCCUUCUUCUUCUUCUGAAUCUGGGUUGCAGAUUCGUUUUUUUUUUCUUUUUUCUUUUUUCUUCUUCUUCCUCCUUCUUCUUCCUCCGACUUGUCUUUGUAUAUCUAAAUACAAACACAAAAAAGUGCAUAUUCACAUUUUUAGAGGUUUAAUAACAAAUCUCAUAAAUUACAAAUAUUAUUUUAUUUAAACUUUUUCUCCGGCAAAUAUUCAAACUUUUAAAUUAAACAAAUAUUUAUCAAACUUAUUAAAUUAAGCAAGUAUUCAAACUUCCAUGACUAUUUUAAGAAUAUAGAACCACAUUCAUUACUAACUAUACAUGAACGUUCACACAUAAUUAAAAGAUUUUAUUGCUACCCGUGAAAUUCACCAGUAUUUUUAUAACUUAUGAAUACGCAAUUGAACCAAUCAACCGUAUCCAUAAAAUUGAGCACAUAACUUCUGCUCAAAAUCAUUUUUUUUUAAUUUUUUUGACAAACAACAAUACUUGGUAUUUCAUUAAUCAACCGAGAACAAUACAUAGGUGCUAAUUGGGUACAAUCCUCUAGUGACCAAGCAAAUGAUCUAGAGAUUAAUUUACGCAAAUGAGACAACAAUAGUAAACCCCUAAGCAGCUAUCACAUGUACGAGAACUUCCCACAACACCUAUACAAGCCUGUUACAGAAACAAUACAUAACAAAUUUGUAUAGAUGAUUGCAAACAGUUGCCGCCAAAUAGCGUGGCCGCAUAAAAUCAUCGCAGGAGCAAGACCACGUAACGUCAUCAUUGGAAGACGAGACCACAUAAUCCAACGCUCAAGGCGAAAACCGAAUACAGCCGUCGUUGCGGCGCAAAACGGACACCAUCCAAUGGAAGGAUAGGACCCUCAGGUAAGGAGCACAGCAGUGCCAUCGCACAAGACAGGUGCGGCUACCACAUCCACAAAUCCAGCGGAGCAGCAACAAUAAACUGCAGGCGACAGAGGUUCCAGAAGCGACCACCGACAAGAAGUCCAAACAGAGCCACCGUCGGAUUUGCACACCCAAACCAAAGAAGCACCACCAAAGAGGCAUUGCGCUCUAAUCCGAGCUUGGAUUUCAACAAGUCCACAACACCAAAUCAGAGUGACGAAACGUGACUCCACACCAGCAGCUGCAAUUCCAAGCCCAGAUCACGCACCAUAUCCCGAGGCAGGGAAGAGGCCUUGAGCAAGGCAUAACCCGGAUAUGGGGGAGGCGUGAAGCUAAGUCAAAACGGUGGGAGAGAAGACCCAUCCGCAUCCGCAUCCGCAGACCCACCGCAACACCCAGAGUACAGACGCCAUAACAAAGAAAAUCUUGAGAUGGCAAGAUCAGGAUUUGAAGGUUGGGGGAAAGACACGGGAGGGGAGAGGAAGGUGGUUGGGGAAGAUGGCUUAAAGAAACAGAGGACAUUUCGAAAUUAGUUUCUCGGCAUCUUGAGCAUACAACAGGCAGAUUCCACACGUUUUGAAAUUAGUUUUGUGACUUCUGUCACGAUGGUCUAGGAAGUGGAAGUCAAAAGAGGCCUUGGUGACGAGUUUGUAAAAAGAAUUGGAGCAUCUGAAAUUCUCUAUCUCUUCAAUUGCAAAAGCACCAUACCAGACAAACACGUGACUGGACCUAGAAAUGUCGUACCCUCUUUCGUUAAACGGAACAUAGUAAGGGUAACUGAUUUCACGGCUUUCACCAUUAUCAGUUCUAAAAUUGCACUUGCACCCAAACUUCACAUUUGCAACACCAAAAUUUUGAUCGACAACAAGAGAUAGAGCGAAACCCAAGAAAUUCGUACCACACCAAUCUGGAGGAAGCUUGAUGGUUAACGAAGAUCCCUCACUUUGAUGGCUGAACCAAUUUGGAAGUUCAUUUCCCUCGUACACAAUGCUAACUGAAGUCCCACUAGAGAUACCCUGAGAUCGUGAUGCACAUCAAAAUCAUUAAACUCGUGAAUAAAAUGGCAGAAGUGAAAUAGACAGUGUGUGCGCGUGUGAGAGAGAAAGAGAGACCUUAUAACGUUCUACUUCCUUGAAGUUGGAUGGCGCAGUUGCAACUUGCAUAAUUCUUAGGUGUGCGUCACUGACUAUGUUGCUCAGUGCCUUAUCAUCCAGUUUCGGGCAUUUAGCAAAAUGAUAACUCCCUCGAAACAAAUCAUAUUUAUCCCAGGCUUGUGUGAGUGAAGUCCUUGAUCUUGAAACUGUCUGCAGUGACUCGCAGCCAUUUGCUUCAAGAUACCGCAGCACUGGGAGCUCUGGUAAAGAUCGAAGGCUCGUGCAAUUGUUUAAGCGCAGGUGAGACAACUGAGAAGCUUGUAUGACGCUUGAAGGUAGGCUCUCAAUAUUGGUUCCUCCCAGAUCUAAAUCUCGUAACCAGGGUAAGAACACGAGGUGGUUGGGAAUUUCACAGAAACAUAGCCUUAUUACUUCCAAAGAGCACAAACUGAGUGAGAGAUUUAAAUUUUUGAGACUCAAGCAACCAAUAAGGCUCAACGUUUUAAGAUGUUUUAAACUGUUGAUGCUGUCUGGGACAAGCUGAAGGUUUUCGCACCGGUCAAGAAUUAAACUUUGAAGCCCAAUUAGCAUUCCUAUCGAUGAAUGUAGCUCUUCAACCUCUGUUCCUUUUAAACUAAGAAAUUUCAGAUGUUCCAUAGGCUCCAAAAUUUCAGGGAAGUAUUUAAAUUCAAGGCAAUCAGUGAGAUCAAGUCUCUCAAGAGAUUUUAACUUACAAAUGCUCUCUGGUAGACUCACCAGCCUACUGCAAUAACUCAGUUUGAGUGUAGUGAGACCAAGGAGACACUGAAUUGACGAUGCGGGCAAUUCCUCUAUUGCGGUGAAAGAUAAAUCUAAGAAUUCAAUGUUGUCGGGCAUCUGAGGAAAGAAUUUCAGAUUUUCACAGUGUCCCAGAUGAAGAUAAGUAAGCUUGUCAAAACCUUUGAAAUAUGAAGGAAUCCGUUCCAAUCUUAUGCAACCAGAAAGAUUUAUAUGCUCAAUUUUUGAACUCCGAGAGAGAUCUGGAACUUCAGCCAGAUGUGUGCAAUAGCUAAGAUCGAUCACUUUCAACUUUCCAAGAUUCUGUAACAAAUUAAAAGGAAAUUUAUAAACUUGGCCGAAAUAAAUUUCCACAUCCACCACAUUUCAUACAAGUUUAACUCAAGUAAAGCAUGUGUACCUGGUUCUUAUUCCAAAGUGGCGCCUCAAGUCUGCUAUAGGGCAUUCGAAGCUCAACAAGAUUGUUUGGAGAAAAUUUUGAUGGAAGAGAUUUCAAAGGGUAUCGGUCCCAGUAAAGAUACCAGAGAGCAUUGGGCAGAGACUCAAGACCUUCAGAAAGGUCAAUCUUGUAGUACACCUCGCCAAAGAUAGCAUCAUGAAAACCUAUAAAUUUGGGAAAAUCCUCAGAACCAUAGAUCUUGAGAAUUCUUAGACUACGCAUCUCUUGGAAGGAUGAUCCCGAAAGUUGUAGCCUUGUAAGACUAGACGUGUCAACGUAUAUGCAUUUAACCUUUGC